rnacentral:rRNA from 1 species
UACGUAGGGUGCAAGCGUUACUCGGAAUUACUGGGCGUAAAGCGUGCGUAGGUGGUUUUUUAAGUCCGUUGUGAAAGCCCUGGGCUCAACCUGGGAAUGGCAGUGGAUACUGGAAAGCUAGAGUGCGGUAGAGGGUAGUGGAAUUCCCGGUGUAGCAGUGAAAUGCGUAGAGAUCGGGAGGAACACCAGUGGCGAAGGCGGCUACCUGGACCAGCACUGACACUGAGGCACGAAAGCGUGGGGAGCAAACAGG